CCUACGGGCGGCAGCAGUGAGGAAUAUUGGUCAAUGGACGAGAGUCUGAACCAGCCAAGUAGCGUGAAGGAUGACUGCCCUAUGGGUUGUAAACUUCUUUUAUAAAGGAAUAAAACGAGGCACGUGUGCCUUUUUGCAUGUACUUUAUGAAUAAGGAUCGGCUAACUCCGUGCCAGCAGCCGCGGUAAUACGGAGGAUCCGAGCGUUAUCCGGAUUUAUUGGGUUUAAAGGGAGCGUAGAUGGGUUGUUAAGUCAGUUGUGAAAGUUUGCGGCUCAACCGUAAAAUUGCAAUUGAUACUGGCAGUCGUGAGGACAGUUGAGGUAGGCGGAAUUCGUGGUGUAGCGGUGAAAUGCUUAGAUAUCACGAAGAACCCCGAUUGCGAAGGCAGCUUACUAAACUGUGACUGACAUUGAUGCUCGAAAGUGUGGGUAUCAAACAGGAUUAGAUACCCCUGUAGUC
rnacentral:rRNA from 1 species